rnacentral:rRNA from 1 species
GACGAACGCUGGCGGCGUGCUUAACACAUGCAAGUCGAACGGAAAGGCACUGCGUUUGUGGGGUGCUCGAGUGGCGAACGGGGGAGUAACACGUGAGUAACCUGCCCUUGACUUUGGGAUAAGUUCAGGAAACUGGGGCUAAUACCGGAUAGGAGAUCCUGCUGCAUGGUGGGGGUUGGAAAGUUUCGGCGGGUGGGGAUGGACUCGCGGAUUAUCAGCUUGUUGGUGGGGUAGUGGCUUACCAAGGCUUUGACGGGUAGCCGGCCGGGGAGGGUGACCGGCCACCUUGGGACUGAGGUACGGCCCAGACUCCUACGGGAGGCAGCAGUGGCGAAUCUUGCACAAUGGGCGGACGCCUGAUGCAGCAACGCCGCGUGCGGGAUGCCGGCCUUCUGGUUGUAAACCGCUUUCGCCUGUGACGAAGCGUUAGUGACGGUAAUGGGUAAAGAAGCACCGGCUAACUACGUG